CAGGUACAGUACGCCGUCGCCGUGCCCCUUGGCCGUGCGUCGUUGCUGUCGCCAGCGAUCCGGUCACACCGUCGCUACUGCUGUGAUUGAUGGAGAAGACUGGCUCAGUCCAAGGUUCAGAGAGAUGCUUGUCGGUGAUCACCUAGGCUACAAUGUAGAAAACUGCAGGAUGCAGACCGAAGUAGGAAAACUUCAGUGGGAACAUGAUGACACCAUGGACUGCCUCCAUGAAGCUCUCUUUGAUUGCAAAGAUGAAUGGAUCCAGGGCUGGGAAGUGGAUCGUCACAACUGGCGCUACAACCAUCCAAUUGCGUUAGGCCGACGCUGCCGUGAGUAAGUAUUUUGCAUCCCAAGUUGUGCAACUUUUCAUCAACUCUCAGGAGCAAUCAUAGAGCAGAUAAUUUAUGUGUUGCAUCCUCUUUCCCUCACAUUGCAGCUAUAAUUCUGGAGUGUACGCAAUGCAUUAUGCUCUUAUGUGUCCGAUUUGUCGGUUGAGGUGAGAGCGUCUGCUUUAUUGUUUGCUGAAAAUUUUGUUCAAGCUACAUGAUAUGCAAGGUUUAACGUAUGCUAUAUUUUUUCUGGCUUUGGACGACCAUGUGCUUGUGCGAGCGGACCAGUUUUACAAGCUCAUGAGGAUGCCAGGGAACCGGUGAUCUCCCUACUUUCCUUCACCAGGUUGCAGCAUGAGUUAGAGACUACCUGAUGUGCUUGUUAUCUUUGGGCUCCGGAAGCUGAUUUGCUCCAAUUUGGCUUGUAAUCAAACAACUAGUUUCCUAAGAUUAUUGUGAGCUGGACCAUCCUUAGUACGGCUCUUUUGAAUGUAUUACCAGACUGCUGGUGUAACUUAGAAGACUAUCAUUACUUUGUUAUGUAUUUGCUUGCAAAAAUGUUGUGA